AGCAGCCGCGGUAAUUCCAGCUCCAAUAGCGUAUAUUAAAGUUGUUGCAGUUAAAAGCUCGUAGUUGAAUUUCGAGACCGGUUUAUUGGUCGUGCUUUUGUACGUACUGGUAUUAUUGGUUUCUCCUUUCUGACGAAUCUUAAUGCCAUUAAUUUGGUGUUUUGGGGAAUCAGGACUGUUACUUUGAAAAAUUAGAGUGUUUAAAGCAGGCUCACGCUUGAAUACAUUAGCAUGGAAUAACGGAAUAGGACGUUUGAUUCUAUUUUGUUGGUUUCUAGGAUCGACGUAAUGAUUAAUAGGGAUAGUUGGGGCAUUAGUAUUCAAUUGUCAGAGGUGAAAUUCUUGGAUUUAUUGAAGACUAACUACUGCGAAAACAUUUGCCAAGGAUGUUUUCAUUAAUCAAGAACGAAAGUUAGGGAUCGAAGACGAUCAGAUACCGUCGUAGUCUUAACCAUAAACUAUGCCGACUAGGGAUCGGAUGAUGUUAAUUUUUAAUGA
rnacentral:misc_RNA from 1 species